ACACGUAGGGGGCGAGCGUUGUUCGGAAUUACUGGGCGUAAAGGGCAUGUAGGCGGCUCUGUAUGCUUGGCGUGAAAGUCAUCGGCUCAACCGAUGGAUUGCGUCGAGAACAGCAGGGCUUGAAUCACGGAGAGGGAGCUAGAAUUCCAGGUGUAGGGGUGAAAUCUGUAGAUAUCUGGAAGAAUACCAGUGGCGAAGGCGAGCUUCUGGCCGAUGAUUGACGCUGAGGUGCGAAAGUGUGGGGAUCAAACAGGAUUAGAUACCCUGGUAGUCCACACUGUAAACAAUGUGCACCAGGUGCUGGGGCGGAUGCCUCAGUGCCGGAGCUAACGCGGUAAGUGCACCGCCUGGGGAGUAUGCUCGCAAGGGUGAA
rnacentral:rRNA from 1 species